UCGGGAAUUUUGGGCAAUGGGGGGAACCCUGAUCCAGCAAUGCCGCGUGAGUGACGAAGGCCUUAGGGUUGUAAAACUCUUUCGUCGGGGACGAUAAUGACGGUACCCGAAGAAGAAGCUCCGGCUAACUUCGUGCCAGCAGCCGCAGUAAUACGAAGGGAGCUAGCGUUGUUCGGAAUCACUGGGCGUAAAGCGCACGUAGGCGGAUAGUUAAGUCAGGGGUGAAAUCCUGGGGCUCAACCCCAGAACUGCCUUUGAUACUGGCUGUCUCGAGGUCGAGAGAGGUUGGUGGAAUUCCUAGUGUAGAGGUGAAAUUCGUAGAUAUUAGGAAGAACACCAGUGGCGAAGGCGGCCAACUGGCUCGAUACUGACGCUGAGGUGCGAAAGCGUGGGGAGCAAACAGGAUUAGAUACCCCUGUAGUCCCUGAGCGGGCUGGCAAGGCGCAU
rnacentral:rRNA from 1 species